rnacentral:rRNA from 1 species
GACGAACGCUGGCGGCGUGCUUAACACAUGCAAGUCGAACGGAAAGGCCCUGCUUUUGUGGGGUGCUCGAGUGGCGAACGGGUGAGUAACACGUGAGUAACCUGCCCUUGACUUUGGGAUAACUUCAGGAAACUGGGGCUAAUACCGGAUAGGAGCUCCUGCUGCAUGGUGGGGGUUGGAAAGUUUCGGCGGUUGGGGAUGGACUCGCGGCUUAUCAGCUUGUUGGUGGGGUAGUGGCUUACCAAGGCUUUGACGGGUAGCCGGCCUGAGAGGGUGACCGGCCACAUUGGGACUGAGAUACGGCCCAGACUCCUACGGGAGGCAGCAGUGGGGAAUAUUGCACAAUGGGCGGAAGCCUGAUGCAGCAACGCCGCGUGCGGGAUGACGGCCUUCGGGUUGUAAACCGCUUUCGCCUGUGACGAAGCGUGAGUGACGGUAAUAGGUAAAGAAGCACCGGCUAGCUACGUG